GACGAACGCUGGCGGCGUGCUUAACACAUGCAAGUCGAACGGAAAGGCCCUGCUUUUGUGGGGUGCUCGAGUGGCGAACGGGUGAGUAACACGUGAGUAACCUGCCCUUGACUUUGGGAUAACUUCAGGAAACUGGGGCUAAUACCGGAUAGGAGCUCCUGCUGCAUGGUGGGGGGUGGAAAGUUUCGGCGGUUGGGGAUGGUCUCGCGGCUUAUCCGCUUGUUGGUGGGGUAGUGGCGUACCAAGGCUUUGACGGGUAGCCGGCCUGAGAGGGUGACCGGCCACAUUGGGACUGAGAUAGGGCCCAGACUCCUACGGGAGGCAGGAGUGGGGAAUAUUGCACAAUGGGCGGAAGCCUGAUGCAGCAACGCCGCGUGCGGGAUGACGGCCUUAGGGUUGUAAACCGCUUUCGCCUGUGACGAAGCGUGAGUGACGGUAAUGGGUAAAGAAGCACCGGCUAACUACGUG
rnacentral:rRNA from 1 species